UUCCUCGUGGCCCAAUGGUCACGGCGUCUGGCUACGAUUGUAUCCACUUCUGAAACCAGGAGAUUCCAGGUUCGAGUCCUGGCGGGGAAG
rfam:Lachancea nothofagi CBS 11611 genome assembly, chromosome: A